GGUACAUGACAAAAUAAGCCGCAUGUGGUUCUAGACAAGCCAUCUAAGCCAUCAUCUUCAACUUUUAUCUCCCUUUCUUUUCACAAGCUCUCUCCGUCAAUCUCAUUGUGAACCUUCUUUCAGUCGAUCGUCGCGCACGCCAGGGAGUCCACUGCCGCUCAUUGUCAUCAGCUGCCGGUCGUCAUCAACUAUGGAUUGUCGCUGGCUAUUGGUCGACCGUCUGAGAUCUCUUUCUCUCUCUCUCUUUCUUCCCCUUGGAUCUACAGUUCGUUAAGUCGUCGCUGCACUCACCUACAAAUGUCGUGCGUCUCUACCAUCCAACCACUGCUUUUAGCUGCCACCGCCAUUGGUCUUGCCGAAAUCUUGAGUUUGGAUAAAGUUUUUUUGUGGUUUUGGUUGGAUUGGAGUUUCGGGAAGGAAUUUAGGUGUUUUCCACUUGGUUCAGGACCAAGUUCCACAAGAUUUUGGACUUGAUUCAAGAUCAUAUUGGAUAAAUAGGAGAUAAGCUUAUUUGAACACAUGUGGGCAUAAUUUCAAAGUAAGGGAAAGGACGCAUCGGCGAGUGACGAGUGGAAUCCGUAACCAUGCCAAUGGGAUUAGUCAGAUGCUUCCGCUCAUGUUUCCAUGUUUUCAUGUUUUUUAAUCUCAUCGUUGAAUUCAUAAACUUUUAGUUUUUGAACGGUUGGAUGUUUUAGAUAAAAUUUUCCAGUGUUGUUUUA